GACGAACGCUGGCGGCGUGCCUAAUACAUGCAAGUAGAACGCUGAAGGAGGAGCUUGCUUCUCUGGAUGAGUUGCGAACGGGUGAGUAACGCGUAGGUAACCUGCCUGGUAGCGGAGGAUAACUAUUGGAAACGAUAGCUAAUACCGCAUAAGAGUAGAUGUUGCAUGACAUUUGCUUAAAAGGUGCAAUUGCAUCACUACCAGAUGGACCUGCGUUGUAUUAGCUAGUUGGUGGGGUAACGGCUCACCAAGGCGACGAUACAUAGCCGACCUGAGAGGGUGAUCGGCCACACUGGGACUGAGACACGGCCCAGACUCCUACGGGAGGCAGCAGUAGGGAAUCUUCGGCAAUGGACGGAAGUCUGACCGAGCAACGCCGCGUGAGUGAAGAAGGUUUUCGGAUCGUAAAGCUCGGUUGUAAGAGAAGAACGAGUGUGAGAGUGGAAAGUUCACACUGUGACGGUAUCUUACCAGAAAGGGACGGCUAACUACGUG
rnacentral:rRNA from 1 species